rnacentral:rRNA from 3 species
GACAGAGGGUGCAAACGUUGUUCGGAAUUACUGGGCGUAAAGCGUGUGUAGGUGGCUGCGUAAGUCGGAUGUGAAAGCCCUGGGCUCAACUCAGGAAGUGCACUCGAUACUGCGUAGCUCGAGUACCGGAGAGGUUGGUGGAAUUCUCGGUGUAGAGGUGAAAUUCGUAGAUAUCGAGAGGAACACCUGUGGCGAAGGCGGCCAACUGGACGAGUACUGACACUGAGACACGAAAGCGUGGGGAGCAAACAGG